ensembl:lncRNA CERNA3 competing endogenous lncRNA 3 for miR-645
AGAGGCGGUCGCACAAGGGCGAGCUGGAGCACUAGUGGAGUUGGCGGGAAAGGCACGGCUGCGGGCGCCCCCUGUCCGCACGGAGGAGCCGAAGUCCCGCAGGGUGGGGUCCCCGCCUGCGCCGAGAGGGCCACCUGGUCGAGAGAACAGGCGACACGGAAACCUGAGAAACUCCUCUGUCUGGUGCACCUAACCCUCUUCCUCAUAAAGUGCACACGAACUCUGGUUUUUCCGUUGCAAAUUUUGCUUUCUACAUAGACCAUACCAUUCGUUGCUCUCUGAGGAUGAGCUCCUGGCUUCCCAGUCCAGCAGAAGUAUCUACAUCUAUUUCUGGAAAGGACCUGAACUUGGCUUCUCGUCCUUCUGGAAAGUGAGGCGAAAAUGCCAGGCUGCGCAGCUAUCCUGAGGCCCGGCCUGGAACCUGGCUAGCCACCCAGUCCUGAUACCUCAUCUCCUUUCUGUUGGAUAAAGUCAUUGGAUAAGAUCCCCCAGGGUCUUCUUAAUACUGAACAUCUGUUCAUAAUCACAUAAGUGACCAAGUAUAGUGGAAAACCCGA